rnacentral:rRNA from 1 species
GGACCUUUCGGGGCCACGAGCCCGGGGAGCGGACUAGCCCCGAUUAGCUUGAUGGUGGGGUAACGGCCCACCAUGGCGAUGAUCGGUAGCCGGCCUGAGAGGGUGUUCGGCCACACUGGGACUGAGACACUGCCCAGACUCCUACGGGAGGCUGCAGUCGCGAAUCAUUCACAAUGGACGCAAGUCUGAUGAUGCCACGCCGCGUGUAGGAUGAAGGCCCUAGGGUUGUAAACUACUGUCAAGCGAGGGGAACCUUCACGAUACAAGAUGUCGUGGACUGACUGCUCGCUAAAGGAAGGUCCGGCUAAACACGUGCCAGCAGCCGCGGUAAUACGUGUGGACCAAGCGUUGUUCGGAAUUACUGGGCUUAAAGGGUGCGUAGGCGGCCUGGCAAGUCAGUGGUGAAAGUCUGCUGCCCAACGGUGGAAUUGCCAUUGAUACUGCCUGGCUCGAGUGUGCUAGGGGGAUGCGGAACGAGUGGUGUAGCGGUGAAAUGCGUAGAUAUCACUCGGAAGGCCGGAGGCGAAGGCGGCAUCCUGGGGCACAACUGACGCUGAGGCACGAAAGCGUGGGGAGCAAACAGGAUUAGAUACCCUGGUAGUCCACGCCGUAAACGAUGAGCACUAGAUGGCUGAUACUUGUGAUUGGCUGUCGUAGGGAAACCGAUAAGUGCUCCCGCCUGGGGAGUAUGGUCGCAAUGCUGAAACUCAAAGGAAUUGACGGGGGCUCACACAAGCGGUGGAGGAUGUGGGUUUACUUCGAUGCCAAGCGAAAGAACCUUACCAGGGCUUGACAAUG